GAAAUGCGAUAAGUAAUGUGAAUUGCAGAAUUCAGUGAAUCAUCGAAUCUUUGAACGCACAUUGCGCCCGCCAGCACUCUGGCGGGCAUGCCUGUUCGAGCGUCAUUUCAACCCUCAGAACCCCUUGCGGGAUCUGGCGUUGGGGAUUGGCAUCCAGCCAGCCCCGAAAUCUAGUGGCGGUCCCUCCGCGACCUCCCCUGUGCAGUAGCGAUACCUCGCAGCGGGACAGCGGUCUGACCACGCCGUAAAACCCCCAACUUCUCAAGGUUGACCUCGAAUCAGGUAGGAAUACCCGGUGAACUUAAGC
rnacentral:misc_RNA from 1 species